rnacentral:rRNA from 1 species
GGGUUGUGAGGUUAAGCGACUAAGCGUACACGGUGGAUGCCCUGGCAGUCAGAGGCGAUGAAGGACGUGCUAAUCUGCGAUAAGCGUCGGUAAGGUGAUAUGAACCGUUAUAACCGGCGAUUUCCGAAUGGGGAAACCCAGUGUGUUUCGACACACUAUCAUUAACUGAAUCCAUAGGUUAAUGAGGCGAACCGGGGGAACUGAAACAUCUAAGUACCCCGAGGAAAAGAAAUCAACCGAGAUUCCCCCAGUAGCGGCGAGCGAACGGGGAGCAGCCCAGAGCCUGAAUCAGUGUGUGUGUUAGUGGAAGCGUCUGGAAAGGCGCGCGAUACAGGGUGACAGCCCCGUACACAAAAAUGCACAUGCUGUGAGCUCGAUGAGUAGGGCGGGACACGUGGUAUCCUGUCUGAAUAUGGGGGGACCAUCCUCCAAGGCUAAAUACUCCUGACUGACCGAUAGUGAACCAGUACCGUGAGGGAAAGGCGAAAAGAACCCCGGCGAGGGGAGUGAAAAAGAACCUGAAACCGUGUACGUACAAGCAGUGGGAGCACGCUUAGGCGUGUGACUGCGUACCUUUUGUAUAAUGGGUCAGCGACUUAUAUUCUGUAGCAAGGUUAACCGAAUAGGGGAGCCGAAGGGAAACCGAGUCUUAACUGGGCGUUAAGUUGCAGGGUAUAGACCCGAAACCCGGUGAUCUAGCCAUGGGCAGGUUGAAGGUUGGGUAACACUAACUGGAGGACCGAACCGACUAAUGUUGAAAAAUUAGCGGAUGACUUGUGGCUGGGGGUGAAAGGCCAAUCAAACCGGGAGAUAGCUGGUUCUCCCCGAAAGCUAUUUAGGUAGCGCCUCGUGAAUUCAUCUCCGGGGGUAGAGCACUGUUUCGGCAAGGGGGUCAUCCCGACUUACCAACCCGAUGCAAACUGCGAAUACCGGAGAAUGUUAUCACGGGAGACACACGGCGGGUGCUAACGUCCGUCGUGAAGAGGGAAACAACCCAGACCGCCAGCUAAGGUCCCAAAGUCAUGGUUAAGUGGGAAACGAUGUGGGAAGGCCCAGACAGCCAGGAUGUUGGCUUAGAAGCAGCCAUCAUUUAAAGAAAGCGUAAUAGCUCACUGGUCGAGUCGGCCUGCGCGGAAGAUGUAACGGGGCUAAACCAUGCACCGAAGCUGCGGCAGCGACGCUUAUGCGUUGUUGGGUAGGGGAGCGUUCUGUAAGCCUGCGAAGGUGUGCUGUGAGGCAUGCUGGAGGUAUCAGAAGUGCGAAUGCUGACAUAAGUAACGAUAAAGCGGGUGAAAAGCCCGCUCGCCGGAAGACCAAGGGUUCCUGUCCAACGUUAAUCGGGGCAGGGUGAGUCGACCCCUAAGGCGAGGCCGAAAGGCGUAGUCGAUGGGAAACAGGUUAAUAUUCCUGUACUUGGUGUUACUGCGAAGGGGGGACGGAGAAGGCUAUGUUGGCCGGGCGACGGUUGUCCCGGUUUAAGCGUGUAGGCUGGUUUUCCAGGCAAAUCCGGAAAAUCAAGGCUGAGGCGUGAUGACGAGGCACUACGGUGCUGAAGCAACAAAUGCCCUGCUUCCAGGAAAAGCCUCUAAGCAUCAGGUAACAUCAAAUCGUACCCCAAACCGACACAGGUGGUCAGGUAGAGAAUACCAAGGCGCUUGAGAGAACUCGGGUGAAGGAACUAGGCAAAAUGGUGCCGUAACUUCGGGAGAAGGCACGCUGAUAUGUAGGUGAAGUCCCUCGCGGAUGGAGCUGAAAUCAGUCGAAGAUACCAGCUGGCUGCAACUGUUUAUUAAAAACACAGCACUGUGCAAACACGAAAGUGGACGUAUACGGUGUGACGCCUGCCCGGUGCCGGAAGGUUAAUUGAUGGGGUCAGCGCAAGCGAAGCUCUUGAUCGAAGCCCCGGUAAACGGCGGCCGUAACUAUAACGGUCCUAAGGUAGCGAAAUUCCUUGUCGGGUAAGUUCCGACCUGCACGAAUGGCGUAAUGAUGGCCAGGCUGUCUCCACCCGAGACUCAGUGAAAUUGAACUCGCUGUGAAGAUGCAGUGUACCCGCGGCAAGACGGAAAGACCCCGUGAACCUUUACUAUAGCUUGACACUGAACAUUGAGCCUUGAUGUGUAGGAUAGGUGGGAGGCUUUGAAGUGUGGACGCCAGUCUGCAUGGAGCCGACCUUGAAAUACCACCCUUUAAUGUUUGAUGUUCUAACGUUGACCCGUAAUCCGGGUUGCGGACAGUGUCUGGUGGGUAGUUUGACUGGGGCGGUCUCCUCCUAAAGAGUAACGGAGGAGCACGAAGGUUGGCUAAUCCUGGUCGGACAUCAGGAGGUUAGUGCAAUGGCAUAAGCCAGCUUGACUGCGAGCGUGACGGCGCGAGCAGGUGCGAAAGCAGGUCAUAGUGAUCCGGUGGUUCUGAAUGGAAGGGCCAUCGCUCAACGGAUAAAAGGUACUCCGGGGAUAACAGGCUGAUACCGCCCAAGAGUUCAUAUCGACGGCGGUGUUUGGCACCUCGAUGUCGGCUCAUCACAUCCUGGGGCUGAAGUAGGUCCCAAGGGUAUGGCUGUUCGCCAUUUAAAGUGGUACGCGAGCUGGGUUUAGAACGUCGUGAGACAGUUCGGUCCCUAUCUGCCGUGGGCGCUGGAGAAUUGAGGGGGGCUGCUCCUAGUACGAGAGGACCGGAGUGGACGCAUCACUGGUGUUCGGGUUGUCAUGCCAAUGGCACUGCCCGGUAGCUAAAUGCGGAAGAGAUAAGUGCUGAAAGCAUCUAAGCACGAAACUUGCCCCGAGAUGAGUUCUCCCUGACUCCUUGAGAGUCCUGAAGGAACGUUGAAGACGACGACGUUGAUAGGCCGGGUGUGUAAGCGCAGCGAUGCGUUGAGCUAACCGGUACUAAUGAACCGUGAGGCUUAACCUUACAACGCCGAAGCUGUU